rnacentral:rRNA from 1 species
CCUACGGGGGGCUGCAGUGGGGAAUAUUGCACAAUGGGCGCAAGCCUGAUGCAGCCAUGCCGCGUGUGUGAAGAAGGCCUUCGGGUUGUAAAGCACUUUCAGCGGGGAGGAAGGCGUUGAGGUUAAUAACCUCAUCGAUUGACGUUACCCGCAGAAGAAGCACCGGCUAACUCCGUGCCAGCAGCCGCGGUAAUACGGAGGGUGCAAGCGUUAAUCGGAAUUACUGGGCGUAAAGCGCACGCAGGCGGUCUGUCAAGUCGGAUGUGAAAUCCCCGGGCUCAACCUGGGAACUGCAUUCGAAACUGGCAGGCUAGAGUCUUGUAGAGGGGGGUAGAAUUCCAGGUGUAGCGGUGAAAUGCGUAGAGAUCUGGAGGAAUACCGGUGGCGAAGGCGGCCCCCUGGACAAAGACUGACGCUCAGGUGCGAAAGCGUGGGGAGCAAACAGGAUUAGAUACCCGGGUAGUC